rnacentral:rRNA from 1 species
GGUUAAGCGACUAAGCGUACACGGUGGAUGCCCUGGCAGUCAGAGGCGAUGAAGGACGUGCUAAUCUGCGAUAAGCGUCGGUGAGGUGAUAUGAACCGUUAUAACCGGCGAUUUCCGAAUGGGGAAACCCAGUGUGUUUCGACACACUAUCAUUAACUGAAUCCAUAGGUUAAUGAGGCGAACCGGGGGAACUGAAACAUCUAAGUACCCCGAGGAAAAGAAAUCAACCGAGAUUCCCCCAGUAGCGGCGAGCGAACGGGGAGGAGCCCAGAGCCUGAAUCAGUGUGUGU